GCACGCCGGUUGUGAAAGCCCCGGGCUCAACCUGGGAACGGCAUCCGGAACGGCCAGACUAGAGUGCAGGAGAGGAAGGUAGAAUUCCCGGUGUAGCGGUGAAAUGCGUAGAGAUCGGGAGGAAUACCAGUGGCGAAGGCGGCCUUCUGGCCUGACACUGACACUGAGGUGCGAAAGCGUGGGUAGCAAACAGGAUUAGAUACCCUGGUAGUCCACGCCGUAAACGAUGUCGACUAGCCGUUGGGACCUUUAAGGACUUAGUGGCGCAGUUAACGCGAUAAGUCGACCGCCUGGGGAGUACGGCCGCAAGGUUAAAACUCAAAUGAAUUGACGGGGGCCCGCACAAGCGGUGGAGCAUGUGGUUUAAUUCGAUGCAACGCGAAGAACCUUACCUACCCUUGACAUCCAGAGAACUUGGCAGAGAUGCCUUGGUGCCUUCGGGAACUCUGAGACAGGUGCUGCAUGGCUGUCGUCAGCUCGUGUUGUGAAAUGUUGGGUUAAGUCCCGUAACGAGCGCAACCCUUGUCCCUAUUUGCCAGCGAUUCGGUCGGGAACUCUAGGGAGACUGCCGGUGACAAACCGGAGGAAGGUGGGGACGACGUCAAGUCAUCAUGGCCCUUACGGGUAGGGCUACACACGUGCUACAAUGG
rnacentral:rRNA from 1 species